UACGUAGGUCCCGAGCGUUAUCCGGAUUUAUUGGGUUUAAAGGGUGCGUAGGCGGGCUUUUAAGUCAGCGGUAAAAAUUCGGGGCUCAACCCCGUCCGGCCGUUGAAACUGGGGGCCUUGAGUGGGCGAGAAGAAGGCGGAAUGCGUGGUGUAGCGGUGAAAUGCAUAGAUAUCACGCAGAACCCCGAUUGCGAAGGCAGCCUUCCGGCGCCCUACUGACGCUGAGGCACGAAAGUGCGGGGAUCGAACAGG
rnacentral:rRNA from 1 species